rnacentral:rRNA from 1 species
UGUCCGGAUUUAUUGGGCGUAAAGCGAGCGCAGGCGGUUUCUUAAGUCUGAUGUGAAAGCCCCCGGCUCAACCGGGGAGGGUCAUUGGAAACUGGGAGACUUGAGUGCAGAAGAGGAGAGUGGAAUUCCAUGUGUAGCGGUGAAAUGCGUAGAUAUAUGGAGGAACACCAGUGGCGAAGGCGGCUCUCUGGUCUGUAACUGACGCUGAGGCUCGAAAGCGUGGGGAGCGAACAGGAUUAGAUACCCUGGUAGUCCACGCCGUAAACGAUGAGUGCUAAGUGUUGGAGGGUUUCCGCCCUUCAGUGCUGCAGCAAACGCAUUAAGCACUCCGCCUGGGGAGUACGACCGCAAGGUUGAAACUCAAAGGAAUUGACGGGGGCCCGCACAAGCGGUGGAGCAUGUGGUUUAAUUCGAAGCCACGCCAACAACCUUACCAGGUCUUGACAUCCUUUGACCACUCU